rnacentral:rRNA from 1 species
CAGUAGCCGCGGGAAUACAGAGGGUGCGAGCGUUAAUCGGAUUUACUGGGCGUAAAGCGUGCGUAGGCGGCUUCUUAAGUCGGAUGUGAAAUCCCUGAGCUUAACUUAGGAAUUGCAUUCGAUACUGGGAAGCUAGAGUAUGGGAGAGGAUGGUAGAAUUCCAGGUGUAGCGGUGAAAUGCGUAGAGAUCUGGAGGAAUACCGAUGGCGAAGGCAGCCAUCUGGCCUAAUACUGACGCUGAGGUACGAAAGCAUGGGGAGCAAACAGGAUUAGAUACCCGAGUAGUCCCUGUCUCUUAUAU